GAUGAACGCUGGCGGCGUGCCUAAUACAUGUAAGUCGAGCGAACGGACGAGAAGCUUGCUUCUCUGAUGUUAGCGGCGGACGGGUGAGUAACACGUGGAUAACCUACCUAUAAGACUGGGAUAACUUCGGGAAACCGGAGCUAAUACCGGAUAAUAUUUUGAACCGCAUGGUUCAAAAGUGAAAGACGGUCUUGCUGUCACUUAUAGAUGGAUCCGCGCUGCAUUAGCUAGUUGGUAAGGUAACGGCUUACCAAGGCAACGAUGCAUAGCCGACCUGAGAGGGUGAUCGGCCACACUGGAACUGAGACACGGUCCAGACUCCUACGGGAGGCAGCAGUAGGGAAUCGUCCGCAAUGGGCGAAAGCCUGACGGAGCAACGCCGCGUGAGUGAUGAAGGUCUUCGGAUCGUAAAACUCUGUUAUUAGGGAAGAACAUAUGUGUAAGUAACUGUGCACAUCUUGACGGUACCUAAUCAGAAAGCCACGGCUAACUACGUG
rnacentral:rRNA from 1 species